rnacentral:rRNA from 1 species
AGAUUGAACGCUGGCGGCAGGCCUAACACAUGCAAGUCGAGCGGUAGAGAGGUGCUUGCAUCUCUUGAGAGCGGCGGACGGGUGAGUAAUGCCUAGGAAUCUGCCUAGUGGUGGGGGAUAACGUUCGGAAACGGACGCUAAUACCGCGUACGUCCUACGGGAGAAAGCGGGGGACCUUCGGGCCUCGCGCCAUUAGAUGAGCCUAGGUCGGAUUAGCUAGUUGGUGAGGUAAUGGCUCACCAAGGCGACGAUCCGUAACUGGUCUGAGAGGAUGAUCAGUCACACUGGAACUGAGACACGGUCCAGACUCCUACGGGAGCAGCAGGUGGGGAAUAUGGACAAGUGGGAC